UAUUCAGGUAGUUUAAUGUAAAACAUUGACUUGUGGCGUCAAAGAGGCAAGAUUUUGUUCUGGAUAA
rnacentral:tRNA from 1 species